CCUACGGGAGGCAGCAGUGGGGAAUAUUGGACAAUGGGGGGAACCCUGAUCCAGCGACGCCGCGUGAGUGAAGAAGUAUUUCGGUAUGUAAAGCUCUAUCAUCAGGGACGAAAGAAAUGACGGUACCUCACUAAGAAGCCCCGGCUAACUACGUGCCAGCAGCCGCGGUAAUACGUAGGGGGCAAGCGUUAUCCGGAUUUAUUGGGUGUAAAGGGAGCGUAGACGGUUAAGCAAGUCUGGAGUGAAAGGCCAGGGCGCAACCCCCGGACUGCUUUGGAAACUGUAUAACUGGAGUGCAGGAGAGGUAAGUGGAAUUCCUAGUGUAGCGGUGAAAUGCGUAGAUAUUAGGAGGAACACCAGUGGCGAAGGCGGCUUACUGGACUGUAACUGACGUUGAGGCUCGAAAGCGUGGGGAGCAAACAGGAUUAGAUACCCUAGUAGUC
rnacentral:rRNA from 1 species